UAUUGAACAACGCAAAAAACCACGUCUAUGCUCCCCUGAUACAUGCCUGGUGCGAGGUGACAAUUCUGUUGUUGCCCAAGACCUACCUGGAUUGCGGGAGACACAAGACGGAGAAGAAAGCGAACAAUCUUGGGUGCGGUGCUUCUCGGCCACUGGCCACAUGAGGAGGAUCGCAAUGAUUGAACGUACAU
rnacentral:sRNA from 1 species